rnacentral:rRNA from 1 species
GACGAACCGAGCGAACGUUGUUCGGAAUCACUGGGCUUAAAGGGUGCGUAGGCGGGCUGACAAGUCUGGGGUGAAAUGCCGCGGCUCAACCGUGGAACUGCCUUAGAUACUGUCGGCCUCGAGGAAGGUAGGGGCAUGCGGAACUGUAGGUGGAGCGGUGGAAUGCGUUGAUAUCUACAGGAACUCCGGUGGCGAAAGCGGCGUGCUGGACCUUUUCUGACGCUGAGGCGCGAAAGCUAGGGUAGCAAACGGG